UACGUAGGAGGCAAGCGUUAUCCGGAAUUACUGGGUGUAAAGGGCGUGUAGGCGGGGGGUUAAGUCAGAUGUGAAAUUCCGAAGCUCAACUUCGGGGCUGCACCUGAAACUAACCUUCUUGAGUGCUGGAGAGGAAAGCGGAAUUCCUAGUGUAGCGGUGAAAUGCGUAGAUAUUAGGAGGAACACCAGUGGCGAAGGCGGCUUUCUGGACAGUAACUGACGCUGAGGAGCGAAAGCGUGGGGAGCAAACAGG
rnacentral:rRNA from 1 species